AAAUGAUCGCUCAUUGAAAGGAUCAAUCUCUGUAACAGCUACGAGAGUUUCCGUCAGAUUUAGAGGCAUGGUGUGUUAGAAAGCAACGGGGGGGACGAGGUGGCGGGGAGCGAGUAUUGAUGAAAGGAUUCCCCUGAAGACAGGUUUGAGUGGAGGGGUCAGAGGGUAAGCGUUGGCCUCACACCAGCCGACAGGGAAGAUGUCCAUGGACUCGACGUCCACGAUGCACUCUGACAGCGGCUUCGCCACACCUGGAGACAGCAAAAAGAGAGAGCGAGAGAGAGAGAGAGAGAGAUAAUCCAUUGAGAUGUGACAUUUUAUGAACCGCCUGCUGCCACGAAACGUAAAAGAGGAAGUUGGUGAAAAGGCCGGCGCUGAGUGAGAAGGACAUAUGGAGCUGGUGUGAGGGCGAGGACACCCGAGUCAGGUGGAAACAUAUCCAGGUCAUCUCCACAACAACGGAGGGCCGCGCCAUCCAUCAGUGGGGAAGUGUCGAGAAAAAUAAAUGGUCUGAACAAGGCUGGGGAG